CCUGGCCAUGCUGUGUGUGCCGGCGCAGGAUGGCCAUGGAGCACGGGCCUUAGCGACCAUGUGGCUUUGGCCGCAGGUCGGGACAGCGCAUACUCUGCUGCGCCAGAGGCACAGGGCUGGGGAAUACCCUCCCACCCCCCCUUUACAGGCCUGAGGCCAGCUGCCCUGAGCUUUGUGCUCCCCCAGACUUCGGCCUCAGAUCAGAUGUGGUGACCAGCUGAAUUUAUUACUAAGCGGAGGAAAAGAAACUAACCAGGACUCCCUCAGUAAUGCCAGUGAAAAGGGAAGAGCCCAGCGCCGAAUCCCCGUUCAACCAGCGCCGAAUCCCCGUUCAACGGCAGGUAUGGAAAAUGUGGCGUACAGAAGAUCGACUCCCGGCAUCGCUCAUGGGACUCGAGUCCUUCUGAUCGAGUCUCACCCGCGCACGGUGUUAGGCCGGUAGCUGACUUUGGCACGCCGGGAUCAGGUCUUUUUGGUGUCAGGUUGCUUGGGAAUGCAUCCCAAAGCCUGUGGUAAACUCCAUCUAAGGCUAAACACAUGCGCGAGACAGAUGGUUAACAAGUACCGCAAGGGAAAGUUGAUAAGAACUUUGAAGCGAGCGUUCAAGAGGGCGUGAAACCGUAGAGGGGUAAACUGGUCGGGUCUGUGCAGUCCACCCACAGGAUUCAACAUGGCAGGUAGGUCGGUUGCCUGAAACGGUGGAUGCCAUUGCGGGACUGUGGCCCGGGUAGACCUGGCCCCUACAGAGUGCAUUUCCUCUGUGGCGGUGCACCGCGGCGGGCUGGGAAGGCCCCAGGGGCAGGUGGCUCUCUGCUACGGCAGAGAGUGUUACAGCCCCCUGACAACAGUUUUGCAGUGUCUGCUGUGCCGAAGGAGAUUGACCGCUGCUGUGCCCUUCUCCGGCAACCGUCCUGGCCCCUCUUGGGGUUGCUGGUGCGGCGACGGGAGACGGGCUCCGAUGCGACUGUGGUGGACUGUCCUCAGUGCGCCCCGACCACGUUGUGCCGCUGCGUGGGGAGCCCCACAAAGGCUGCCAGGCAUUGAAUGCAAGUGCCCGGUGGGCAACUUUGUUAAGCAGAACUGGCGCUGCAGGAUGAACCGAAUGCCGAGUUAAGGCACCCAAUGCGAUGCUCAUCAGACCCAGUAAAGGUGUUGUUUGAUAUAUGGAAGUUGGAAUCCGCUAAGGAGGGUUCUCUUUUUUUCUUAGUGAAGGGCAGUGCACCCUGGAAUGGGUUCGCCCUGAGAGGGGGCCCGAGCCUUGGAAAGCAUCGCAGUUCCGGCGGUGUGCGGUGGGGUCUCUCUAGUCCUUGAAAAUCCAGGGGAGAUGUUGUGAAUCUUGUGCUGGGCCCUACCCAUAUCCGCAGCAGGUCUCCAUGGUGGACAGCCUCUGGCAUGUUGGAACAAUGUAGGUAAGGGAAUUCGGCAAGUCAGAUCUGUAACUUUGGGAUAAGGAUUGGCUCUGAGGGCUGGGUCGGUUGGGCUGGGUAGCGGGGGCAGGCUGUACGCCGCGGCUGGAGGAGGCGUCUCAUUCUCCUCCCCCCGGGGGGAGGUGCCGACUCUGGUUGCGAGCCAGGCCCUGCCUGUGGAUCGCCACAGCUGCAGUGGUCGCCUCUCUACGUUCCCCUCCCAGGGUUCGGGCCUGACGUUCUGCCUAGGCUGAUGCCUAGCAGCUGACUUAGAACUGGUGUGGACCAGGAGAAUCCGACUGUUUAUUUAAAUUGAAGCAUUGCGAAGGCCUGAGGUGGGUGUUGACGCAAUGUGAUGUCUGCCCAGUGCUCUGAAUGUCAAAGUGAAGAAAUUUAAUGAAGCGCAGGUAAAGGCGAGAGUAACUAUGACUCUCUUAAGGUAGCCAAAUGCCUCGUCAUCUAAUAAGUGACGCGCAUGAAUGGAUGAACUAGAUUCCUACUGUCUCUACCUAGAAACCACAGCCAAGGGUCAAGUCCAAGACGGGGUGCCUUUAGCUGGUCCCUUUCCUCCAUGUUGGGGUAAAUGCACUCACAAUUGCUGGCCUUGAGUUCCAAAGUGUUUGUGGGUUAGUCCCGGAGGGAAAGGUUCUAAUGGGGUGGGAGAAGCUCAAAGGGGGGGCCUGGCCAGAGCUCCGGGAGAGUGCUGCCCCCCCGGCCUUGGGCGCCUGUCUCACGUGUGGGUCGACUGUUGCUCACCGGAGGGAUAAGCUCCAAGGCGGGCGAGAAACCUCUUAUGUGGAGGGGGGGGAAAGCUCUAAGGUGUCCUGGCCAGGCCUCGAGGAUGACCGUUGGUGCUGGCCCAUGCCCUUGGGGACCUGCCGAUCCUUUGUCAGGCGGGCGGGGGCCAAAGGCCUUUCCCAUCCAGGCCCAU
rnacentral:rRNA from 1 species